UACGGAGGGAGCUAGCGUUAUUCGGAAUUACUGGGCGUAAAGCGCACGUAGGCGGCUUUGUAAGUAAGAGGUGAAAGCCCAGAGCUCAACUCUGGAAUUGCCUUUUAGACUGCAUCGCUUGAAUCAUGGAGAGGUCAGUGGAAUUCCGAGUGUAGAGGUGAAAUUCGUAGAUAUUCGGAAGAACACCAGUGGCGAAGGCGGCUGACUGGACAUG
rnacentral:rRNA from 1 species